rnacentral:rRNA from 1 species
AUUGAACGCUGGCGGCAGGCCUAACACAUGCAAGUCGAACGAGUGGCGGACGGGUGAGUAAUGUCUGGGAAACUGCCCGUUGGAGGGGGAUAACUACUGGAAACGGUAGCUAAUACCGCAUACCAUCGGAUGUGCCAAGAUGGGAUAAGCUAGUAGGUGGGGUUACGGCUCACCUAGGCGACGAUCCCUAGCUGGUCUGAGAGGAUGACCAGCCAGACUGGAAGUGGGACACGGUACAGACUCCUACGGGAGGGAGCAGUGGGGAAUAUGGCACAAUGGGCGCAAUCCUGAUGCAGCCGUGCCGGGUGUAUGAAGAAGGGCUUCGGGUUGGAAGGUACUUUAAGCGAGGAGGCGUUACUCGCAGAAGAAGCACCGGCUAACGCCGUGCCAGCAGCCGCGGUAAUUC